rnacentral:tmRNA from 1 species
AAACGCAGAAGAAAAUUUUGCAUUAGCUGCAUAAGCUACGUCCCUCAUACUUGUGCCUACCAAGUGUGAAUGGACGUCAAACCGUAGGCUGGCUUAAUUCAGUUGUUCAUAUGAAUUAGGCGAGACAACAUGAACUGGGGUUGUGUAGCUUGUCUGUGAGCGGUAGCAACCUGAGAUCUAAAUCAUAGACUGUGCUCGGAGAAGUCUAUAUGGCAACACUUUUGGACAGGGGUUCGACUCCCCUCAUCUCCACCA